rnacentral:rRNA from 1 species
AAAGGCUUGACGGUACUUCACACCAACCUAGAGGAGCCUGUCCAAUAACCGAUACUCCACGAUUAACCCCACCCACCCUAGCCUAAACAGUCUAUAUACCGCCGUCGCCAGCUCACCUUGUGAAAGAAAUAAAGCGAGCAAAAUAAGCCACCCUUAACACGACAGGUCGAGGUGUAACUAAUGAGUGGGUAAAAGAUGGGCUACAUUUUCUAAGCACAGAAAACACGGAUAAACUAUGAAACUAGAAACUAAAGGCGGAUUUAGCAGUACGAUAAGAACAAAAUACUUA